rnacentral:misc_RNA from 1 species
UCCGGUUCCUCACCGGCAGUCCCCUUAGAGUCCCCAACAUGACUUGCUGGCAACUAAGGGCAAGGGUUGCGCUCGUUACGGGACUUAACCCAACAUCUCACAACACGAGCUGACGACAGCCAUGCAGCACCUGUCUCUGCGUUCCUUUCGGCACCCCAACCUCUCAGUCGGGUUCGCAGGAUGUCAAGAGUAGGUAAGGUUCUUCGCGUUGCAUCGAAUUAAACCACAUGCUCCACCGCUUGUGCGGGCCCCCGUCAAUUCCUUUGAGUUUCAACCUUGCGGCUGUACUUCCCAGGCGGAAGACUUAUCGCGUUAGCUUCGAUACUGAUAGGUUCCCCUACCAACAUCUAGUCUUCAUCGUUUACAGCGUGGACUAC